GACGAACGCUGGCGGCGUGCUUAACACAUGCAAGUCGAACGGAAAGGCCCUGCUUUUGUGGGGUGCUCGAGUGGCGAACGGGUGAGUAACACGUGAGUAACCUGCCCUUGACUUUGGGAUAACUUCAGGAAACUGGGGCUAAUACCGGAUAGGAGCUCCUGCUGCAUGGUGGGGGUUGGAAAGUUUCGGCGGUUGGGGAUGGACUCGCGGCUUAUCAGCUUGUUGGUGGGGUAGUGGCUUACCAAGGCUUUGACGGGUAGCCGGCCUGAGAGGGUGACCGGCCACAUUGGGACUGAGAUACGGCGCAGACUCCAACGGGAGGCAGCAGUGGGGAAUAUUGCACAAUGGGCGGAAGCCUGAGGCAGCAACGCCGCGUGCGGGAUGACGGCCUUCGGGUUGUAAACCGCUUUCGCCUGUGACGAAGCGUGAGUGACGGUAAUGGGUAAAGAAGCACCGGCUAACUACGUG
rnacentral:rRNA from 1 species